rnacentral:rRNA from 1 species
GACGAACGCUGGCGGCGUGCUUAACACAUGCAAGUCGAACGGAAAGGCCCUGCUUUUGUGGGGUGCUCGAGUGGCGAACGGGUGAGUAACACGUGAGUAACCUGCCCUUGACUUUGGGAUAACUUCAGGAAACUGGGGCUAAUACCGGAUAGGAGCUCCUGCUGCAUGGUGGGGGUUGGAAAGUUUCGGCGGUUGGGGAUGGACUCGCGGCUUAUCAGCUUGUUGGUGGGGUAGUGGCUUACCAAGGCUUUGACGGGUAGCCGGCCUGAGAGGGUGACCGGCCACAUUGGGCUGAGAUACGACCCAGACUCCUACGGGAGGCAGCAGUGGGGAAUAUUGCACAAUGGGCGGAAGCCUGAUGCAGCAACGCCGCGUGCGGGAUGACGGCCUUCGGGUUGUAAACCGCUUUCGCCUGUGACGAAGCGUGAGUGACGGUAAUGGGUAAAGAAGCACCGGCUAACUACGUG